rnacentral:rRNA from 1 species
GAUGAACGCUGGCGGCGUGCCUAAUACAUGCCAGUCGAGCGAACGGACGAGAAGCUUGCUUCUCUGAUGUUAGCGGCGGACGGGUGAGUAACACGUGGAUAACCUACCUAUAAGACUGGGAUAACUUCGGGAAACCGGAGCUAAUACCGGAUGAUAUUUUGAACCGCAUGGUUCAAAAGUGAAAGACGGUCUUGCUGUCACUUAUAGAUGGAUCCGCGCUGCAUUAGCUAGUUGGUAAGGUAAUGGCUUACCAAGGCAACGAUGCAUAGCCGACCUGAGAGGGUGAUCGGCCACACUGGAACUGAGACACGGUCCAGACUCCUACGGGAGGCAGCAGUAGGGAAUCUUCCGCAAUGGGCGAAAGCCUGACGGAGCAACGCCGCGUGAGUGAUGAAGGUCUUCGGAUCGUAAACCUCUGUUAUUAGGGAAGAACAUAUGUGUAAGUAACUGUGCACAUCUUGACGGUACCUAAUCAGAAAGCCACGGCUAACUACGUG